GGGGGGAUUGUGUCCGACCGGUGUCUUCAGUUUACAGCUCAGUUCUGGAAGAGCUUGUUGCAGAAACUGCUUGUUUCAGAACUGGACACAAGGACAAUAGCAUUAAAAAUAUGGGGGAAAUGGGAAGAUAAAUUGAUGUCAUAUUUAUCAAAGAAAGCCCUGAUAGGUAACUUAAGAAAUUAUGAGGACAAGAGUAUCAUAAAAAAUUGAAACACCUGGGAUAUAGUAAAAUUAAAGAUUUAUAUAACGAAAAUAAGGAAUUAAUGGAAUUGAAACAAUUGGCCUACCAGGAUUAUGAGCAAGUGCUCGCCAUAGAAUACCCUAUAGCACAGUCAGUGAUUGCCUAAUGAAAUGUAAGUCAUGAGAACAUUACUUUGAUUAUUUUGUAUUCAGUUAAGUAUUGAUUUGAUGUUAAUAUAGUGCAAUAAUAGGGGUGCUAUAGCAUAUCUAUUUAUGUAUGAUGAUGUUCUUUUUAUACAUGUAAAUAUAGUGACAGAAACUUAUCCCAAACUGGAAUAUUAAGUUAUAUUUAAAGGAACAGAGAAGAAUCAAUCACCUGUAGAAGGUGUUCCAAAUACCGAAACAAGGAAUACACCCGAGAUACCUUGUUGUAACCUUGGUCACUGUGUAGAACUGUUCUUUGACAUCACCACAACAUUGGAUGCCACACAUGGUCCUUCAAGAUAUCUAUAAGUGACUUUUAAAUCAUCAUAUAUUGGACUAUUGUGUUUAUUUAGAGGAGAUUGAGGUCUCCCGUUUGAAAUCUAUUUGAAUACGGACGUUUAUUCAGGAUAGAGAUAAGUUUUAUCUUUAUAUUGUGUAUACAUAUAAGCAAUAAACCUGUUGUACGAUAAUACAUUUGAAGUUUCAAAAAUAACAACAAUGUAAUACUUUGUGUAUUUCAGUUGUGGGUGGCCAUUGAGCAAACUCAACUUCAGGUUCUCCUUGAGGUUCAGCUGUUUCAUCCAGGGGAAUCUAUGGAGGAUAUCUAGGGAAGACCACCUGCAUCAGCUGCUAUUACCUGCAUCAGCUGCUAUCAGCUGCUACCCCAUUAGAAUGAGACUGGUCUUCAUCCUGGACUACAGAUUCUCAAUGACCUCACAAAGGAAAUAUAACACCAAAUAAAUCCUUACAAUACGUUCUGUCAAACCAAACAUUCUUUAACAAGCUCACACGUUAGAGGCCAGAGUAUCAACAGCUGUCUGGGAAUAUAGCAUGUUGGAUAUUGCUGAAUUCACUCAUAACCCCAAAAUGUAUGUUGUCAGUUAAGUCUUUGUUUUUUAAAACACACACCUUACUCAUAAAGUUCUGUUCAUUUACAUAAUGUGUGAUGGUACUCUUUCUUUCUCCUGGAGAAAAAAACAGCUGCCUCUGGUCCUAGCAAAACUGUGAGCAUUAAAGUCCAUUUUACUAGGAAUGAGAUAUUAGUUAACAGAAUGGGUUCCAGACAGAAAGAGAAAAUUGGAAUGAGGGGGGAAUAAAAAGGGAGGUUCCUCAUUUCAGGAUUAACUUAUUAUAAAAUUCAGGUAUUGGGUGUAUAGAGAAGUGAAAAUCAAAUCUGUGUUUCAGGAAACACUAUUCGUGCAUGGGAGCACUACUGAGCAAAUGUGAAUGGUAAUAUAAAAAUGAGAAUUUACUGCUUCAUCAAAAAACUAAAUAAAAUUUGGAAAUUUCACUUAUACUGUGGCACAGCUGGUUAAUAGCCAGCUGCAAUAAAUCACUACUGACUGAGAGGUCUUGAGUUUGAAGCCAGCCCACAUCGGAGUGAGGACCCGACCAUUAAAAAUAGUCCAGCUCAUUGUUGACCUAAGCAAUCUGAAAGAUAGUUGCAUCUAUCAAGUAGGAAAAUUUAGGUACCGCUUAUGCGGGGAGGCUAAUUUAACUAAUUUACAACACCAUAAAAAUCAUCCAGCAGCAUGCAGAAAGGAAUGAGGAAGCAAUCCAUCAAGGACUCGAUGUCACAGUGGAUGAUGAAGCAGCAGCUCCCCCUGUGGCCGGAAUAGAGCAUACCCUCAUGAAGCCUGGAAGCUGGAAAAUGUUAAAUUGCCUCUGAGUCUUUGUCUCUGUCUCUAUGUCUAUUGGCACUGAAUGUUUGCCAUGUAUGUGUACACUGUAAUCCGCCCCAAGUCCCCUUAUUUAUACUAUAAAUAAAUAAAUAUAAUUGUCUUUCUGUAAUAAGGCCAUGCAUGGAAGUCACAUUUUCAAACUGGAAUAUUGACAAGUAUUUUUUCAUAUUGAACUAGCAAGGUGGUUCUCAACCUAUGGGUCCCCAGGUGUUUUGGCUUACAACUCCCAGAAAUCCCAGACAGUUUACCAGCUGUUAGGAUUUCUGGGAGUUGAAGGCCAAAACGUCUGGGGAUCCACAGGUUGAGAAACACUGAUAUAGCAAGAACCUUUGGAAAUUUAACUGGGGAUUUAUGAAACGCUUUCAACCAUUUGUCUAUAAAUCUGAGAGUCAAAAACUUGCUUAAGGUGACUUCCAGCAACAGCAAUGGCCGAUCAAAGCUCCUCCAU
ensembl:lncRNA